CUCAUAUAGAAAUAACACUGCGAAUAGUACAGUUGUAAAAAGAUUAAAAAAUAAUAACGUGUCAGUCGAGUACCUGAAGCUCAAAUAUCAGCAGCAACAUUGACACAGAUAGGUAAUAAGAAGUGGAAUUAUCCCAGAUUCAUCACGAAUACCAAAAUUUCGAGAGAACGGGAAGGUAGCACAUAUCCGUGAGACAAAAAGGUGAUAAUGGACGCAACACGUUUUCAUAAACGAUUUCAUUAAAAAAAAUAGUACAAACGUAUGAUAUCAGCGUAGAAAUAUAUUUGAAUAUAAAGCAAAAUCAUCCCCAAAGUAUCAGGGUGUUCAUUGUGGGUCCGUGUACGGAUCUGGUAAUUGGAUUUUCCGUUCUGAAACGGUAUUGAAAAACAAAAAACGAGUGGUUAUUUGAUUUUCGUUUUAAAAUACAAAAAUUAAAAUUGAAAUACAAGGCUAUUUUCCUUUUCAUGAUCAAAAAGGGAUGUUCGUUUUUUUUAAAUGCUUUGAUUUUCGUUUUAUAUUUAGAAUAACAAGAAAGUAAAAUCAGUAAGAGACAGAAACGAAAAAAAGGUCCGUUUUAUCAUUUUCUGAGACCGGAAGUUGUCAUCAGCAAGUGUGGAGCCAAACGACAACAAGAUUCUCAGAGGGCGGAGCCAGAGAGCAGUGAUUGGUCAGACCAUAGAUAAUAUAGAAGACAGCGCGCUAGCGUAUCUAGUCUAUGUAUAUCUAUGGUCGGCACGUCUGGUAGCAUCUUUGGCUGCUGUUGAUCUUGUUUUUGGAGUAAAACACGGUGGAAGCUGAAUUAGUGAGGAUGACUCCUGCUCCUGUCAUCUCUAAGCUCCUCACACAUCUUUACCUGCACGAGGAAAAUCACUUCUGUAGAAUGCAGAUGUUCAGAGGGAGAUGAUGCCACAUCUGGUCCAGCCGAUGGAAGGUCUUGAAGUUCUCUGACUGGCCUCGACUGAAGAUGGUCGUCUCACUGGAUUUAAGGUUCAGAUGCUCAGUAACAAACUCCACCAAUGUGCCAACAGGGAAGCUUUAGGUUUAUUAAAUGUUGCUAUGAAGGUGUCGCUGUUUUUCUUUGUGAAUGCAAUGAGCUCCAACUGAAACUUGAAUUAGAGCUUAGAAGUAAAUCCUUCCAUCUGAAAGGAUUUAGUUGCAUUAAUAACCUCAUAACAUUCUAAUUUUUAUUCCAGUCUUGGUUGAAAAUAGAAUCUCUGUAUUGAUUCAGGUAAAAACUGAACUUCACAGCAUGUUGGAGCAAAACAACCAGAUGAAAACUGUGAUGGUGUUGGAUUGUCAGACUGUAAUGUUGCAGCUCAAAGCAGCUUUUCUGUCUCAGUUCAUUCUGACAUUCAGCUAUGAAUCAACACAGCAGAUGGUGAUCCAUGCUGUGGAAGUCUCACAUCUCCUGAUUUAACGGAGCUGCUUUGCACUUUUUACACUGUUUAUUCACCAACACUUUAUUUAAUAAAAGUCCCAUCUAGUUUUUAUGAGGAAUGUGAUGUUUGAAUUUCUGUGAAUAACUGCAGUCUAAUGCAACAGCUGGAGUUGUAACAUCUGUCCUGAUAUUGAUCAUGAAGUAUUGAUCAGAAUACUUAUGGUCAGCAGUCAUCCCUGAAGUUUUACAUUAAAAUCUUUACUUGUGUUGUGAACUUUGGUAAGAAGCAGAAACUUUAGCGUUGCCAUGGAUACAUGAGUGUUAAAUUUUGUCCAUGUUUCCAUUUUUGGAAAUUCAGUCCAGCAGAUGAGUUUGUUUUUACUGCCAGCUACCAUUAAGUCUGAGAUAUUAAGAAUAAAUAAAUAUGCAUAAUGUGGAAAUUAACAGAUUUUAUUUUUAUUUAUUCCUACAAGUGCUGCAGGGUAUAUUCUAGAAUGUGGAGGAAUUUAGUCUCACAAUCACAGACAAUAAACAUUAUCUUAAAGUCUGGUUAUUGUUGUUUAUCAGCACAAUACAAAAGGAUUGAUGUUAGAAAUAUUCCAGUUGAGACUCCAGAAUAUCAUGAUUUAUGUAAAUAUACCUCAGUAACAUGAAUGUUCAGGUUAAGAUUGUGCAGUGAUUUUAUGUAAGUUUAGCUGAUUAAAGUUUAUGACUCUGCACUAAAAUAUUAUUUAAAUUUACAUCAUUAUUAUAAUAUUUAGGGUCAGACCCUACAGUAUUGAGAUUAAGAAAUCAAAUAUUCUAUAAAAUGUAAAUACACUGAACUCAUUUGGAUAUAUUUAAGUGAGACUCUACAAUAUUAUUUGACACAAAUCUAUCUAAAUCAAAAUUUUAAUAAUUUUCAUGCCAAACAUUUACUGGACUGAUUUCAAUAUUAAAUUCACUCCUUUCUAAUCCUCUGCUGUACGUUCAAACCUGAGGCCUUAAAUAGAAACACAUAAGUAUCUGUUUGAAGGAACUUCUGCAGAGUCCUGGUUCCAGAACAUGAUGAUAGAAUUAUAGACAAACUUUUACAAAAGCUGCCUGAGAGUUUACAGGUUUUUAUGUUGGAUUUCUUCAGUAAUUUAAUGAGAGUUAUCAGCAAAAAUCAAGUGUUCAUUUGAUGAACUUCAUUUCCUAAAACAUCCAGAAUUUGAGCUCAUAUCUUUGGCAGCUGUAAAGUUUCUGCUCCUUCAAAGUUCACAACAAUGAAUGAAUUCCUAAAACACUCUCAAUGCUGGAGAGCGUUUGUGAUGCUGAACCAGUGAGCAGUUUUUCUGUUUCUUCACAAUGCACAAUGAGGGACGUCUGCAGGGACUGAGAAAGAGUCUCACCACAUCCUGACAUGAGGAAAAGACUUUAUUGAAGACUACAGUGAGAAAAACUAUCAGGCAGCAGACGGCAUGCAUUCAAGUUGCUGAAUUCAUGGAUGAAUCAUCUGGCACUAGAGAGGAAGACCAUCAAACAUCCACGUCAGCUGAUGGAGGUCCAAGAGUCUCACCGAACAACCAACCUACAGAGUGAAGACCUUGAAUCUGAUUGGACGGCCUCCUAUUCAGCCACGUGUGAACAAAUGCCUCGAAGCUGAUUUGUUUUCUAAAAUAAAUCUAGUUUGAGUCCUAA